UUACUGAUUGUUAAAUCAAAAAGAGGCCCAGAAAGGAACCCUAAAUCACCUGUUUUCUCUUUGAGAUGGAAAUGGGUACAUGGUUUUGUUGUUGUUAAUUUUUAAGUGAAAUCAUUUAGCAUGAUAUAUUUCAUACCAAAAUUUUUUAAAUUACAGAGAGAAAUGAAUGAAAGGACUCAGCUGUACUUCCUGAUGACAUGCCUUUUCUUCUUUGGACACCCUGAGAAAACUCAGUUAUUGUACAUCAACAGCUUUUGCCUGAAAGUAAAGAGUAGAAGGGAGAUAACUGCCUCACUUUCAGCUGAGACUGAGAAUCUAUAACCUGCUGGAAGAACCCAGGUGUUCAAUGAUGCCAAGAAAAGUCCUAUUUUUCCAAGUUCUAACCCAAGAGAAAGGUGUUUACACCUAUCUCAUUUUAUUCUCAUUUCUACAUUUCCAGAAUUCAAAAAAAAAAAGAUAUGUAUUUUGAAAUAAAUCACAAAACAUGGCUGUUGGUAAAUGUGCAGUUAACUAAUCUCUAACAUCACAAUAUUUUAACAUGACCCCUUAUUUCACACUGUAAAAGGAACUAUUCCUUAAAAAAAGAGGGAAAUGGUAUGGGAGAGAGAAAUAAAAAGUCCUGUCAAAAAGGAAAGAAGCUUCUUCCCAGAAAGCCCCAACACAUGUCUUUUGG
rnacentral:lncRNA from 1 species